UCUCAGCAUAAAUCUUUUUCUUUCUUCUCAGGCACCUCCUACCUAUGAUAUUGUGAUGGAAAUGGAAUACCUGGAUAUGGUGUUGAAUGAAACCCUCAGAUUGUAUCCAGUUGGUAAUAGACUUGAGAGAGUCUGUAAAAAAGACAUAGAACUUGGUGGUGUGUUUAUACCCAAAGGGUCUGUAGUGAUGAUUCCAACAUAUCCUCUUCAACGUGACCCACAGCACUGGACGGAGCCUGAGGAAUUUCAUCCAGAAAGGUACCAGAACCCCCUAAGCAGGAACCCACUCUGCACUAUGCAGGCCUGUGUUCAGCAAGGAGAACAAGGGCAGCAUUGAUCCUUAUGUAUUUCUGCCCUUUGGACAUGGACCCAGGAACUGCAUUGGCAUGAGGUUUGCUCUCA
rnacentral:sRNA from 1 species